rnacentral:rRNA from 1 species
UAUACAAUAAAUAUUAAUUAAUAUUAUUGGUUUAUGGAAGGGAUGGGUUAAAAUUUAUUUGAAUUUAAAUUAUUUAUUUUUAGGUGAAAUUUAAAUAUUCAUUAUGGUUUUAUCAAAAUUUCUUUGAAGUGUACUAUUUAAACUAGGAUUAGAUACCCUACUAUAUUAUAUCUAAAUAUUUAGGCCUGGGUAUUAUUAGUUAUGUUCUUUAAACCCAAAGAAUUUGGCGGUGUUUUAUUCUGUUUGGAGGAAUUUGCCCUUUAAUCGAUAAUCCCCGAUUUAUCUUACUUGAAUUUGUUUAUCAGUAUGUAUACCGCCGUUAUAAGUUUAUUUUAUUAGGAUUAAAAUUUACUUUAUUCAUAAUUAUGAAUUAUUUC